GUGAAGGAUAAGGAAUCAGGUGUAAUUGUUCCUCCAUCCUCUUUGCCAUUUAUAGGCCAUAAGGAUCUCUAUAUAACCUGCUGCUAUCAGGUGACAGGUUGCUGUUCUCCUGUAUGACUCUGAUCCAGGCCAGCAUGUCCUCCCUGUCCUCAGCCUGGAACAGGUACUCACAGUCGGACGUGGUCAGCCGCAGCACGUUCUUACGCUUUGUGUCGCUGUAUGAGAUGUCAAUCAGGCAGGCCUUGAUGCUGAUUGGCAGGGGCUCGUCCACUGCUUGGCAGUUGGCGUGAGCCUGCCCUUCCUUUUUGUCUUUAUAUAGGCAGAGGUAGUGGCCUCUCAACACAGCGUACAUUUGUUUCCAUGGACGCAUACCCCCUCCGACUCGCUGCAGAAAUAGGUCAUGAGAAAGAGACGAGUUUUACAAAGCGAAAUAAAGGGACUUAAAAUGUAAUCAUCAUAAAAGGUCAUAAAACCAAGUAAUUCAGUAGGUCCAUAAAGAUGUGCGCUCUGCUUUCUGUGUCAUUAUGUGAGACAUAUUAUGUGAUGGCUACAGAUAGCUCGCACCUUGCUCUUGUCUGUGUUAAGCUGCUUGAAGUGCAGCAAACCCUCCUUGGUGGCGUCACAGAAGACGUCCGACGAAGAAUCCCUCCUGGACCCUGAAUCUUCGGACGACCUGUCCACAGCCUGCAGCGGAAUAGAAAAUAACACAUAGCCUCAAA